UACGGAGGAUGCGAGCGUUAUCCGGAUUUAUUGGGUUUAAAGGGUGCGUAGGUUGUUUUUUAAGUCAGCUGUGAAAGUCCGCGGCUCAACCGUGGAAUUGCAGUUGAAACUGGAGGCCUUGAGUGCACACAGGGAUGCCGGAAUUCAUGGUGUAGCGGUGAAAUGCUUAGAUAUCAUGAAGAACUCCGAUCGCGAAGGCAAGUGUCCGGGGUGCAACUGACGCUGAGGCUCGAAAGUGCGGGUAUCAAACAGG
rnacentral:rRNA from 1 species